rnacentral:lncRNA from 1 species
CACUCUAGAUAUAAAAGCAAAUCCACAAAUAUUUUGCACAAACAAAGCCAUGAAUGCUACUAUGUACCGUGCCAUUUCUAAAGACGAUUGCAGCCUCUGGAGUGAACCCAGUGAACCGCUUCAUCUCACCGGCUUUGCAAGGCAGAAUGAUCCAGUUUCUACAGCCGAACAUCCGCUUUGCAGUCGGCACUCAAAUCAAGCUUGAAGAAGUUUGGGCAGAGCAUCAGAAUCUAUUGCCAGAGUUUCCCCAUUUUGAGGUCAAGAGAAAUUAAUAGUUAGACUGUUUAACUGAUUGUUGCUUCGGUACCAUAUGAUGAACGAUUGGAGCAUGUGAUUGUAUAUUAACCCCAGAUUCGUUUUGGCAGAGAAUGAUAUGCCUUUGGAGACAACAGCACCGCUCAACUUGGUCACGAAACCUCCAAAGAUUCACCGAUCGUCUCCCUCGUUGGAAAGCAAGUAGUUUGGAUUGGAGCCAGAUCCACUUUGUGUUCUUCAAGAGAGCUUUUCUCAACAUUAGUCAUCUAGACAGAGACAAGAUCCAUAAACAAACCGAAGAUGGAGAAAAAAAACUUACACGUAGAAUCUAGCAUGUUGCAUCUGGUCUUCUAUCCUCCGCUAGAGCUACACAGCAUAGCAAACCAAAAACUCUGGGUCACGUCCUCCAUGGUCUUGGUCAGCACGAGGGAGAGGGUCAGAACGAAAAACUCCUGUUUCCCGAGGAGCUAGGGAUGAUCUGCAAACCCGUGCAUGAGACGCAGGAGCUCCUUGAUCGCCUCGUUGUUUCCUUGUAAGCCUCUAGAACCGACUCGGCCCUGCUAAACAGCGCGUUCGCCAGCGCCACUGGCAAUUCCCCGUCCUGGCCAGCAUCUA